rnacentral:rRNA from 1 species
GCCAGCGGCGAUAGCACGUUGAAUGCCCCAGUUCCAGAAGGAUCACCGAAGUGAAGCAACGUUGCGCGUGGUUAGUAUCCGGAUGGGUGACCUUCAGGACACUCGUAUGCUGCUGGCU